rnacentral:rRNA from 1 species
GGGAUAGCCCGCCGAAAGGCGGAUUAAUACCGCAUAAGCUUGUGAGUCUGGUUUCGACUUAUUAGUAAACGAUUUAUUGGUUAUAGAUGGGGUUGCGGGUCAUUAGCUAGUUGGUAAGGUAACGGCUUACCAAGGCGACGAUGACUAGGGGAGCUGAGAGGCUGGUCCCCCACACGGGCACUGAGAUACGGGCCCGACUCCUACGGGAGGCAGCAGUAGGGAAUAUUGGGCAAUGGGCGAGAGCCUU